ensembl:lncRNA
GCUCUAUUCUCUUCAUAGAAUGAAGCUGUGAAAGGACCAUAGGAAGAGACAAAACUGGAAAAUUAUAUAUAAUGUCUUGUCCACUAUGUGUUUCUGAAGAUGCCAGACCUUCACAAACCCAUGUGUGCUUCUGCUCGAGUAACUGUACCAACACUGACUUUUUUUUGAACAACAUUACGUACAGAAUUGUGCACACUGGAGGUGGAAAUUAGAUCAGAGGUAAUGGCAACACUCAGAAGGCUGUCCUCGUCUUAGAAGCCUGCAGGUCACUACAAGACAAGCUAGAGUAGAUUUGUGGUAUGUCAGUCAGCUAAUGCACAGUAGCAGCCUAUGGAUGGAGUUGAACCUGGCA